rnacentral:rRNA from 1 species
ACUGAAACUUAAAGGAAUUGGCGGGGGAGCACCGCAACGGGAGGAGCGUGCGGUUUAAUUGGAUUCAACGCCGGAAAACUCACCAGGAGCGACUGGAACAUGAAGGCCAGGCUGACGACCUUGCCAGAUUUUCAGAGAGGUGGUGCAUGGCCGUCGUCAGUUCGUACCGUAAGGCGUUCUCUUAAGUGAGAUAACGAACAAGACCCCUACCGCUAGUUGCCACCGUCCCCUCCGGGGGACGAGCACACUAGUGGGACCGCUGGCGCUAAGUCAGAGGAAGGUGGGGGCAACGAUAGGUCCGUAUGCCCCGAAUCUCUUGGGCAACACGCGCGCUACAAAGGUUGGGACAAUGGGCUCCGACACCGAGAGGUGGAGGCAAUCCCGAAACCCAAUCCUAGUCCGGACUGAGGGCUGUAACCCGCCCUCACGAAGCUGGAUUCCGUAGUAAUCGCGGGUCAACAUCCCGCGGUGAAUAUGCCCCUGCUCCUUGCACACACCGCCCGUCAAACCAUCCGAGUUGGGUUUCAGUGAGGGCUCCGACAUUGUGCGGGGCUCGAGCUGAGAUUCGGCAAGGAGGGUUAAGUCGUAACAAGGUAUCCGUAGGGGAACCUGCGGAUG